UACGUAGGGGGCGAGCGUUGUCCGGAUUCACUGGGUUUAAAGGGUGCGUAGGAGGACUGGUAAGUCAGUGGUGAAAUCCCCGAGCUUAACUUGGGAACUGCCGUUGAUACUAUCAGUCUUGAAUACCGUGGAGGUGAGCGGAAUAUGUCAUGUAGCGGUGAAAUGCUUAGAUAUGACAUAGAACACCAAUUGCGAAGGCAGCUCGCUACACGAAUAUUGACUCUGAGGCACGAAAGCGUGGGGAUCAAACAGG
rnacentral:rRNA from 1 species